UAGGGAAUCUUCCGCAAUGGGCGAAAGCCUGACGGAGCAACGCCGCGUGAGUGAUGAAGGUCUUCGGAUCGUAAAACUCUGUUAUUAGGGAAGAACAAAUGUGUAAGUAACUAUGCACGUCUUGACGGUACCUAAUCAGAAAGCCACGGCUAACUACGUGCCAGCAGCCGCGGUAAUACGUAGGUGGCAAGCGUUAUCCGGAAUUAUUGGGCGUAAAGCGCGCGUAGGCGGUUUUUUAAGUCUGAUGUGAAAGUCCACGGCUCAACCGUGGAGGGUCAUUGGAAACUGGAAAACUUGAGUGCAGAAGAGGAAAGUGGAAUUCAAUGUGUAGCGGUGAAAUGCGCAGAGAUAUGGAGGAACACCAGUGGCGAAGGCGACUUUCUGGUCUGUAACUGACGCUGAUGUGCGAAAGCGUGGGGAUCAAACAGG
rnacentral:rRNA from 1 species